rnacentral:tRNA from 1 species
GCCACGGUGGUCUGGAGGUUAGAACGCUGGACUUGUAAUCCUGGGGUCUCGGGUUCGAUUCCCGGCGGUGCCC